rnacentral:rRNA from 1 species
CAGCAGCCGCGGGAACACCGAGGGUGCAAGCGUUAAUCGGAAUUACUGGGCGUAAAGCGCGCGUAGGUGGUUUGUUAAGUUGGAUGUGAAAGCCCCGGGCUCAACCUGGGAACUGCAUCCAAAACUGGCAAGCUAGAGUACGGUAGAGGGUGGUGGAAUUUCCUGUGUAGCGGUGAAAUGCGUAGAUAUAGGAAGGAACACCAGUGGCGAAGGCGACCACCUGGACUGAUACUGACACUGAGGUGCGAAAGCGUGGGGAGCAAACAGGAUUAGAUACCCCUGUAGUCCCUGUCUCUUAUAC